UGAAAGAAAAAAAAAAGGUCAAAAGGGAAAGAUUUUCUUAUUCUUUCGAAGCUCAGUCGCAGCCCUCUGUCUACGAGAGUAAGGCGCACAACUAAUAUUCAUGUAUCGUUGGCGUCUCAAGUCCCAUCGGCGGCUCGAAACACAGUCCCCACGUAGUUCUCUCCUUCCCUUCUCCAUCUCCACCGCUUCACAUUAGAGCUUCUAAGCAAGGGUUUUCUUUUGAACCUUGUAUCACAACCAUGGUGUUUUGGUGGCCUUUGAUCAUUCUUGCCUUCGCUUGCUAUUUUCGUGGAUGACCAAAAUCAAAUUCAGGAGAACAGUAUUAUAUGUACUUCCAAGAUGAUCCUAUAAAAUAGAAAGAAUUCUUAGUUAAUGAACUUAAAUGAAAAUUGAUGGGACUCCAACUGGUGAGAGAUUAUAAUUGCCAAGUAAAAUAAGUGUAUGAAGCAUCUAAUGAAGGGUAAAAUAUAUGAAGGAUUUAAGUAAUAUCCGUUGGAGGUUUGUUAUUAACAUGCUCAUGUUUUGUUCAUUUAUCGCCUGGUAAUCUUUGUAGCUGGACAAAUUUUUAUUCCCCAUCAGACUUGUUCAUCUCAGAGGGAUUAACAUUAAUAAUAAUUGACUUUGUGAAUUUCAAAAUCUGAAUUAAUGAUGAUCAACUUUUGAUUUACUCCUGCAUGCCUAGCUAAGUGUCCCAAUCUUGCAUUCAAUUCACAAAAUUGUAGUACUGUACAUAUAUAAAUAUACUGCAUAUUUAACAUAUAAUAAACUGUUUUAUUUAAAGUUCCAUUUCUAAAUCCAUUUUUGUUUUGUCAUCAGAAGCUGAGAUCUGAUUGAUUAUGAAAAUCUUAUCAGCCAAAUGGUUAUAAGAUGAACUGGUAAGAGGACUUUCUACUACACUUAAUUAUUAUUACUACUUCUGCCAAUAAGAAAUUAAAGGUAACACUAACACAUAUGUAGAGAAAUAUGCCAUGGCCUAUUUAACAUUUACUUACAUUCAAAACUUAUUUUUUGCUUUCUUUCAUAUGACCAACUUUUAUACUUUAGAAAAAAGGAUAGAAGUUGAAGAAUAGAAUAAACUUUUGCAUGAACUACAAGACCGUAUGGCAGAGAUAGAGAUCAAAGUUAUUGAAUGGGAGGUCGAGUUUGUGUUGGUCACUUGAUCUGUGUACCAUCAUGAGGCCAGUGAAGGAUUCUUUAUAAGCUCUCAUUGUGCUCUCUUUUCUCUUGCUAAUCAUUAUCUAUGACUUGUCAUUCUCACGAGCAUAUACUCAGUAAGUUGGAUCCUUUGCUAUAUAGUUUGUUAGGCCUUAGGAUAUUAAAUAAUGAGAGUAAAUGAGUCAUUGUAAUAGGUAUUGAAGUAGUAUAUAUAAGAGUGUGUUGAAAAAGGUUGAGAGGGAGAAAAUGAAUUAGUUAAUGAGCAGUAGCUCUUGGGACUCUCAAAUACCCAGCAACAUUGUUAUCCUCUUCAUCUAUAUCAAUAUACGAUUCACUAUUUAGUUAUAUUUGCUACUGAUAUACUAAAUUGAUAGAAAAUCCCUAUCAAAUAGUAUCAAAGCAAUCAAUCUAUGGGGCAAGGUAUGACGGAAAUUCGAUCGAAACAAGCUUUUAAUCAAUUGGAGUUGAUGAAAUCAUUGUUUUAGGCAACGAUUGAAAAAACCAUCGACAAACAUGUAGGCUUGAUGAUGAAUCAACUUACUCAAUUGAUAUAGAAUGCCAGAGAGGCAUGAAACCAAUGACGAACAAGUGGUGAUUGAGGAUGAACAAUUGAUGCCAACAAAAAGUUGUUCGAGGAUGUUCCUGCCAUAAGUAACAAAGGCAGCGAAAACCAUAGAGGAGGACAAACCACGCGACGAAGGUCAUAAAGGUGAAGCAACGACGAUUUUAGAUUUGAGAAGUGUCUCGCUAACACUUCCAGCCAAACACCACGACAUGGUUCUUCGAGAUACGUCGUCAAAGUCGAACGGUAACUCACCAGAGCUAGAGAAGAUGAUCGACACUCAACAGGAGGAUAAUAACACUGGUAUUUUCUCUGUCCUACCUGGUUGAAGUUGGUCGGAGGUCUUUGGUUGGGUGAGACACAACGCCCCUUAACGGUGGAGGAGCAGCGUUCUCGACCGCUGGCGUUAAGCUCAUGCGAGUUGCAGUGUCGAUUGGCGUCAGAGAAGACAUUCUUCAUUCCAUUAGACACCAAAUGUGAUCGAUAUCCUCUCAGUUUACCUGCUUUGAGUUAGGUAAAAAUUCUUAGCUGGCAGGGACAGAUUUCGACACGAAACCUCAACAUGGUUGACGUGGGGAACACUCACCACUCCUCGUCAGAAAUGCAGCGCCGUCGACUGUCGAGAAGGUGCCAGAGGAGCCAUCGGAUCUGAACGAGUGUGCUAGAGAUGUUUGAAGCUUCAGUAUAGUUGGGAUUGGAGUUCUAGGCUCUGGGCUAAAGACUCCUUGUCAUAGUCAAAGGCCCACUCACUGUGGCCUAACCCAUGAGGGCCUAGUAAGUAAGAAUAUGGGCUUAAUGUUUGUUUUAGGUUAUCAUGGAUUAAAAAAAUGGCAUCCUCGUCAGGCUUUAUCAUUUUCUAAUCGCACGUGGUAAUAUGAAGGGUUGCGACUUACAAACCUUACUUCAAGGCCGCCAGCGAUGGGGCAACUAGGGAGGCUGGCUAGAACAAAGGAAACAUGGUUCAACUUUUUAUUCGAUCAAGUGUUCGCUGGAUUUUUGAUAGAAGGAGAAGAGUUAACUUUGUGGUAAAGAGACUAAUCCAACUUUACAAUCACGUAUCUUUAGUAAUUGUUUCUUUCCUUCAUCUAUAUUUUAGACUUGCUUGGUUUAUUUGGAGGGGUUUUCAAACAAACAUCUUCACAAGAGUUGGACCUUAGAUGAUCGUGCUUCGACAUUGAACAAGGUGAUACAUUUCAUAUGCAUGUAUUCUUGGCCUGGUAUUCGUGAGAUCUCACUGGCAAGGGUUAGUGUAGAAUCCAUUCACUAUGGGUUUUAUUUACCUGCGCACUAUUCUCUCGAAAUGUUCACUCUAUUUAUUAUUGAAGCACACAAAUUUGGGUUAGUGAAAGAGAAUAGACUAUCGCACCAAUUUCUAUAAAUAUUAAUUUGAGAAUAAAGAACAAAAAUGUGAGAGAACAAGCUUUGGACAAGAAUAGCCAGUGGAGUUAAGAGGUAAGUCCUUGUUGCCACUAAAUUUGCACUUUGAAAUUGGAAUACAGUUGUCAUCUAAAGAAGGUGCACUCCUCACAGUUAGUUUUGAAUUAAUUUAUAUAAGCUGGCCACAUCUUCUUAUCCAGUCAGUUACUCAAGCUCAUUUUGCUUGGGCAGAUUACCUUAGUUUAUUUGAAAGGUUUAAGAGGAACUUCUUGUACAACAAAUUGCAGAAGCAUCACUUACAAAGCUGGAAAUUUAAUAACAGGUGGCAGACAUUUCUCUUUUAUGGUUGUGCAACCAGUGUGUUUCCUUUGCACUAGGCUUCUACUUUUAGAGUUGAGGAACUUGUUCUGAGAAGGGCCAUAAGGCGUUUCAAUGGAGAAGACAAGCUUUACAAUGCUCAAUUACAAAUUUAAACAGCUCGGCUGGUGCAAUUCCUAGAGUCGUAUCGAGAUAUAUACCACAUGCGAAAUUUGGAGAUACAUACUGCAGUUAACUAUCGUAGUGGAGUGCCAUUUCGUAAUUGGUUUGUUGAUAGAGGAGGAGCGCAUCAAGAGCAAUUAGAGUGCGCCAGCUCUAUUUAGACCCUAUUGUGUGUUUUUCAUGCUCACCAUUAUCAUUAUCUGGCCCUAUUAAUGCAGCUAGCGACUUUUUUUUUGAUUGGGGGACCAUCGAGUUACAAAUUUGAAAACGCCUAACCUUGCUGCCACAUUUCAAUGAUCACUUGUUCAUCCUACCAAAGGCGGGACUACGACUUUACUUUGCUAGUUUUUUGAGCGAGGUUUGCUUGUUAAAUGGUGUCUUCACUUUCGCAGUGCGAACAAUGUUCAUCUACUGACUUGGUUAUUUGAUAAAGGAUGAACAAAGACUGUCGUGGAAGCUUGUUGCUAUUCACCUUGAGCACAAAGUGAAUUUCGGACUACUGCUAUUGUUAGGCCUUAAGAUAUUAAAUAAUGAAGGUAAAUGGGUUAUUGUAAUAGGGUAUUAAAGUAGUAUAGAUAAGAGUGUAUUGGAAAUGGAUGAGGGGGAGACUGAAUUAGUUAAUGAGCAGUAGCUCUUGGGAGAGCACUGGAUCUCUCGAAUACCUAGCAACGCUGUUAUCUUCUUCAUAUAUAUCAAUAUACGAAUCACUAUUUUGUUAUA